AGUGCGAUAGUGAGCUGCUUCUUGUGCACGGGGUAGUGAGAAAUACCAGCGUUGCUCGACGACGUAUUCGACACAGGGAGGCGGAAGUUUUGAACAGCCGCAGCGAACGAGUGCCUAAUCCCGCAGAAAGCAAUGUACUCGGCGUGCAACGGUCGCGUAUAUAUAUAUUUUUUUCGGAGACAAAUCUACUUUGUUGCACCAAUCGGCAGAGUGCCAUGCUCACAGCCAAGAAACGGGGAUGAAUGUCCACUGUGCACAUCAGAAAUGUGGUUCAAAAUGGAGAGCCACUUUGCUACAAUCAGAUUCCUAUCUUCAUUGCUUGUUGAAGCGCAGCAGUACAGGUGACUGAUGAUUAAUUUUAUUAAAAAAGCAAUAACACUGC